rnacentral:rRNA from 1 species
AGAGUUUGAUCCUGGCUCAGAUUGAACGCUGGCGGCAUGCUUUACACAUGCAAGUCGAACGGCAGCAUGGGUGCUUGCACCUGAUGGCGAGUGGCGAACGGGUGAGUAACAUAUCGGAACAUAUCCGGAAGUGGGGGAUAACGUAGCGAAAGUUACGCUAAUACCGCAUAUGCCCUGAGGGGGAAAGGAGGGGAUCGUAAGACCUUUCGCUUUCGGAGUGGCCGAUAUCAGAUUAGCUUGUUGGUGAGGUAAAGGCUCACCAAGGCGACGAUCUGUAGCUGGUCUGAGAGGACGACCAGCCACACUGGGACUGAGACACGGCCCAGACUCCUACGGGAGGCAGCAGUGGGGAAUUUUGGACAAUGGGCGCAAGCCUGAUCCAGCCAUGCCGCGUGAGUGAAGAAGGCCUUCGGGUUGUAAAGCUCUUUCAGCCGGAAAGAAAUCGCGCCAACUAAUACUUGGUGUGGAUGACGGUACCGGAAGAAGAAGCACCGGCUAACUACGUGCCAGCAGCCGCGGUAAUACGUAGGGUGCGAGCGUUAAUCGGAAUUACUGGGCGUAAAGCGUGCGCAGGCGGUUUUGUAAGACAGACGUGAAAUCCCCGGGCUUAACCUGGGAACUGCGUUUGUGACUGCAAGGCUAGAGUAUGGCAGAGGGGGGUAGAAUUCCACGUGUAGCAGUGAAAUGCGUAGAGAUGUGGAGGAAUACCGAUGGCGAAGGCAGCCCCCUGGGUCAAUACUGACGCUCAUGCACGAAGCGUGGGGAGCAAACAGGAUUAGAUACCUGGUAGUCCACGCCCUAAACGAUGUCAACUAGGUGUUGGGGGAGGAGACUUCCUUAGUACCGCAGCUAACGCGUGAAGUUGACCGCCUGGGGAGUACGGCCGCAAGGUUGAAACUCAAGGAAUUGACGGGGACCCGCACAAGCGGUGGAUUAUGUGGAUUAAUUCGAUGCAACGCGAAAAACCUUACCUACCCUUGACAUGUCAGAA